AGCUCAGAGCAGCCUGUUUGGUCACUCCCUCCUGCCAGAGGGGAAAGGAUUGCUGGGCUUGGAUCUACAUCAGUCCUGCCAAGGGAGAUAAGCACAGAAUGGGAGAAGAGGAGCAAAGAUCCUUGGCUUCCUUCUCUAAACAUCAGCAAACAGAGAGAGGGGGAUGGAUCCAGCACGAGAUUGAUCUGAACACCAUGACUUGUUCCAUGUCAAAUGAAACAUAAAAUUAAGGUCUUUCCCAGUGGCUGUAAAGCAGGGUGAACAUCUCAGUGCUGGAUCUCAAGGAUCAGCACAGCUAAAGCUCUGUGAAACUUCCAACUAAAAUUCCCUCUCUGCUUUGAAA